GCUGUGUUUGCCGACGUGCUUCACCUCAGCAACAACCAGCGCAAGACCGUCUCCGGCAUGACGGCCAGCCAGUACUACGAGCAGUACAACCAUGUGCGUGGGAACGCCUACUCACGUUUCCAUGGCUACGCCUACGACGGCAUCUGGGCCAUAGCCUCCACCCUGCACCAGGUGGACUGGCAGGUACGCCACAACCGGUCGCCUCUGCCCACCAAGUCGCGGCUCUCAGACUUUCGCUACAGGAACGGCGACUGGGAGGCCAUGCUGAA